rfam:Chloroflexi bacterium RBG_13_57_8 RBG_13_scaffold_19806, whole genome shotgun sequence.
UCGUGCUAGAUGGGGAGCCAGCGGUGCCCUGUACCUGAAAUCCGCUAUAGCAGGGUUGAAUUCCUGUCUGAGGCUUUUAUCUGGUGGGACUGCCCGUGUUAAGUGGCGUUGAAGGCCGGGUCCUGCGCGGCGGAGUGCUAUGAACCCCGUCAGAUCCGAAAGGAAGCAGCGGUAAAUAGUUUUAUCCGGGUGCCGCAGGUACGCCUGGCUGGAGCCGGCUGGCCCGGGUAAGCCGUUAGGUGGAGUCGAGGGCGGGUGCACGG